AAGUCGUAACAAGGUCUCCGUAGGUGAACCUGCGGAGGGAUCAUUAACAAAAAUAAAAAAAAAAACACAAAUGAAUCCCAAGAACGGAACGAGCCCCAAAAGCUUUUUCUCUUUUUUCGAUUCUUUUUUGCUUUUUUUUUAAUUCAAAAAACACUUUGCGAACCAUGUGACUGACCAAGUUGUUUUUCCGACGCUCUCACGAGUCGAACGAAAUCCUUGGCUUUUUUUUCACUAACAACCAAUUUCACCAAUUUUUUCUAUGAUUUUCUCAUUGCUCGUCUGAGCAGUGAAAGAAGCACAGGAAAAGCCAAUUGAAUAUCAAAAACUGAAAAGUUGAAAAUUUAAUUUCUAAUUUUUUCUUUUUCACAAAAUAAAAAAACAAAAUUAAAGCACAACUCUUAGCAACGGAUAUCUUGGUUCUC
rnacentral:misc_RNA from 1 species